rnacentral:rRNA from 1 species
UACGUAGGGUCCGAGCGUUGUCCGGAUUUAUUGGGCGUAAAGGGCUCGUAGGCGGUUUGUCGCGUCGGGAGUGAAAACCUUGGGCUUAACUCAGGGCUUGCUUUCGAUACGGGCAGACUAGAGGUAUGCAGGGGAGAACGGAAUUCCUGGUGUAGCGGUGAAAUGCGCAGAUAUCAGGAGGAACACCGGUGGCGAAGGCGGUUCUCUGGGCAUGAUCUGACGCUGAGGAGCGAAAGUGUGGGGAGCGAACAGG